rnacentral:rRNA from 1 species
GCAAGUCGAACGAAAAGCAGUCUUCGGAGGGAGUGGCGAAAGGGCGAGGAAUAUAAUCGAAUGUACCCCAAGGUGAAGGAUAGCUUCUGGAAACGGGAGAUAAUACUUCAUGUGCUCUACGGAGGAAAGGUUUACCGCCUUGGGAGCGGCGAUUAUCCUAUCAGGUAGUUGGUGAGGUAAAGGCUCACCAAGCCGAAGACGGGUAGCGGGUGUGAGAGCAUGACC